rnacentral:lncRNA from 1 species
UGACGCUAUUGUUUAGAUUCUCCAGUCCCUCUGUGGGGGUCCCCGGAAGGUCUCACUAGUGUUCACCAUCAGUUUUCACACGUGCUUUCCCUCCAGCCUCUACCUUGGUUCUGCUUUCUUCAGUGCCAUUUGAGAGUCCCACCCCAGCCCCAGCAGCUGCUGGUCACAAAAGCAUGUUCAGUUGGAAAUAAGACUGGAAAUCAACAUCUGAAUUGUUCAAUUUUUGCUCCUUUUGUGCCUCUAAAUGGUAUGAUGGUGGAUGCUCCGAGGAGUUUGACAAACUGUUAGAAAAUGACACACAUUCUGGCUGUUCAGAGAAAAAGCCAAGGCAACUUGAUUUAUGCUGAUGGGUGAGUCCUGCUUCCUAAGCUGCCAAACCUGUAUGCGCUUUGAGUUUCUGAGCGUCUCUGUUCUCAUGUGCUACAAUGGAUUGAUGGAUUCAUUCAUUUUUCUCUAAACGCUGCUUCCAGAAUUAAAUCAGAC